AGCUCCUCCCCACCCCCACCCGCCUCCCUCCACCUGGCAGGUAGGCUGGGAGCAGACGCCAUUUUUACAAUAGGUGGAAGGAGAGUUGGGGCCUUGAGUUCCAGGUGUGACUCAUCAACUAAGAGCAGGAACAGCAUGGCCUAACCCUCGACCAAGUCACCUAACCCUCUAGGUCUCUCCCUUAAAAUGAGGAGCGACAACAAUGGGUGCUAAGUUUCUCUAGCUCUAAAGUUCCAGAAUUCCAGGGAGUCAGAAGAUGUUCAUAAAUCUUAAAGUAGCCCAAAGACUUAACGGCAAGUAAGCGGCAACCCACAGGUUGAUUCCUGGCCCCAACAUGUCAGUCACCGCCCUGGGGAAGUGAUUGGCUGGAGCGGGAGACUGCGGAUCUUUGAGCGGGUCUUUGUGGCGAUCGCUCUCCCCACUCCAGAAUCGCUGUUUUCCUCCAGCUGUGGGCCGACGAAACGACUCUAAUGUGGCGUGUGGACUGGGAGACAUCCAAAGAAGGUUCAGAGAGGCUGUGGGGCCGGCUCGGGCUACACCCCAGAGAGCCACGCUCCACCCCAGGAAUGACCAGGACACGUGCCACUUCAGGGGCGCCCCCGCAGGGCCCAACGGGGCUCCUCAUUGGGCCCCCACUGCUGUCCCAGCGGUGCAGGGAAAUGCGUGAGUCACCCUGGGGGCGGGCUCGCCAGAAGCCGAAUGCCUAAGGAGCACGUACAGGACAAGUCUGCCGUGGGCCUGUGACGGGGGCUGGGCCGGCGGCGGGGGACACCCCGGGAAAGCAGGAUCGUCCCUUCUCCUCGCCCGGAGUCUCCCGGCGCCAGGAGCAGGAGGGGGAGGAGCCACACAGCAGAGGGGGGCAAAGAAUCGCGUUUACAGUCGCUUCCAGUCCUAAAUUCUCCCUGAGACUGCCAGAAAAGAUGCUAAUGAAAGACCAAUUGUCUGGCCAGAGUGUUUUCUUCGGACAUCUGCCCGGGGAACAGGAUAGGAAGCCCAGAAGCAAGGUCACCAGCCCUAUCCUAUGGCAACACCUUUUGCUCGCUACUGACCCCUCCUGGGGUGAUGGGGCAGCUACUGGAGGUCGGGAGGCAGCCGAGAGAAAUAAAAUUGUCCCGGACACCACUACUGGGUUCUCAAACCCAACCGCUGUUGGAGGAUGGAUCCUGCCUAAACCUGAGAGGCUCAAACCUUGGCAAUUCCCUUUCCUCCAAGGGGCCCCGAAAGCUUUCACACAGGACUUCUCUUUGGCCUGAAUCUCCCUAACCUUUUGUCCUGGAGAAAUGGAGGGGGGCAUUGAGGACCUUUAGGAGAAUGAAAUGAACGUAGCUGGGUGUCAGCAAUGUCACCCUAGUGGGGGAGCAGAGGGAGAAUUGGGGGGCAAGG
rnacentral:lncRNA from 1 species